rnacentral:misc_RNA from 1 species
GAUGAAGAACGCAGCGAAAUGCGAUAAGUAAUGUGAAUUGCAGAAUUCAGUGAAUCAUCGAGUCUUUGAACGCACAUUGCGCCCCCUGGUAUUCCGGGGGGCAUGCCUGUCCGAGCGUCAUUGCCGCCCUCAAGCACGGCUUGUGUGUUGGGCCCCCGCCCCCCCGCUUCGGGGGGCGGGCCCGAAAGGCAGCGGCGGCACCGCGUCCGGUCCUCGAGCGUAUGGGGCUUCGUCACCCGCUCUGUAGGCCCGGCCGGCGCCCGCCGGCGACCCCAAUCAAUCUUUCCAGGUUGACCUCGGAUCAGGUAGGGAUACCCGCUGAACUUAAGCAUAUCAAUAAGCGGAGGA